CCUACGGGUGGCAGCAGUGAGGAAUAUUGGUCAAUGGCCGAGAGGCUGAACCAGCCAAGUCGCGUGAGGGAAGACGGCCCUACGGGUUGUAAACCUCUUUUGUAGGGGAGCAAAGCGAACCACGUGUGCCUUAUUGUGUGUACCUGAAGAAUAAGCAUCGGCUAACUCCGUGCCAGCAGCCGCGGUAAUACGGAGGAUGCGAGCGUUAUCCGGAUUUAUUGGGUUUAAAGGGUGCGCAGGGGGAUGUGUAAGUCAGCGGUCAAAUUGCGGGGCUCAACCCCGUACUGCCGUUGAAACUGGAAGCCUUGAGUGCGCGAGAAGUAUGCGGAAUGCGUGGUGUAGCGGUGAAAUGCAUAGAUAUCACGCAGAACUCCGAUUGCGAAGGCAGCAUACCGGCGCGCAACUGACGCUGAUGCACGAAAGCGUGGGUAUCGAACAGGAUUAGAUACCCGGGUAGUC
rnacentral:rRNA from 1 species